UAUUCCUGUACUAUGAUAUGACAGAACUGUGGGGACACGUGCAGAGAGCGGAAGCCGGGAAUGGGAUCCCGGUGCAAGCGAGGUACCAGCCGCAUUGGAAAAACCGUGCGGCAAUGGGAAGACGUGAUGCGGAGUGAAGUUUAGUAAUGAAGUCCGUGAGCUGUGCGUCAAGAAAAGCCGCUAUUGUUCAUACCAUACCCGUACCGUAAACCGGCACAGGUGGAUGAGGAGAGAAUCCUAAGGCCGGCGGAAGAAGCAUUGUCAAGGAACUCGGCAAAAUGACCCCGUAACUUCGGGAGAAGGGGUGCCUGCGAGAGCAGGCCGCAGAGAAUAGGCUCAAGCAACUGUUUAGCAAAAACACAGGUCUAUGCGAAACCGAAAGGUGAGGUAUAUGGGCUGACGCCUGCCCGGUGCUGGAAGGUUAAGAGGAGAGGUUAGCGCAAGCGAAGCUUUGAAUUUAAGCCCCAGUAAACGGCGGCCGUAACAAUAACGGUCCUAAGGUAGCGAAAUUCCUCGUCGGGUAAGUUCCGACCCGCACGAAAGGCGUAAUGAUUUGAGCGCUGUCUCGACAAUGCAUCCGGUGAAAUUGAAGUACCAGUGAAGAUGCUGGUUACCUGCGCCAGGACGGAAAGACCCCAUGGAGCUUUACUCCAGUUUGGUACUGGGAUCCGGUACUGCAUGUACAGGAUAGGUGGGAGGCUGAGAAUCGGUAACGCCAGUUGCCGAGGAGCCGCUGUUGGGAUACCACCCUUGCAGUAUUGGGUUUCUAACCAGCCGCCGUGACCCGGCGGUGGGACAAUGCCAGACGGGGAGUUUGACUGGGGCGGUCGCCUCCGAAAGGGUAUCGGAGGCGCCCAAAGGUUCCCUCAGGAUGGACGGAAACCAUCCAAAGAGUGCAAAGGCAGAAGGGAGCUUGACUGCGACACCGACGGGUGGAGCAGGUACGAAGUAGGGCUUAGUGAUCCGGUGGUAUUAAGUGGGAAUGCCAUCGCUCAACGGAUAAAAGCUACCCUGGGAUAACAGGCUUAUCACUCCCAAGAGUUCACAUCGACGGAGUGGUUUGGCACCUCGAUGUCGGCUCAUCGCAUCCUGGGGCUGUAGUAGGUCCCAAGGGUUGGGCUGUUCGCCCAUUAAAGCGGUACGCGAGCUGGGUUCAGAACGUCGUGAGACAGUUCGGUCCCUAUCCGGCGUGGGCGUAGGAUAUCUGAGAGGAGCUGUCCUUAGUACGAGAGGACCGGGAUGGACGGGCCGCUGGUGCACUGGUUAGACUGCCAAGUCUAUAGCCGGGUAGCCAAGCCCGGAAGGGAUAAACGCUGAAGGCAUCUAAGCGUGAAGCCCCCCUCAAGAUGAGAUAUCCCAUCCGAAAGGAGUAAACCCCCUUGAAGACGACGAGGUCGAUAGGGCAGAGGUGGAAGUGUGGUAACACAUGGAGCUGACUGCUACUAAUAGGGUGAGGGCUUGAUC
rnacentral:rRNA from 1 species